AGAAUCAACGCUGGCGGCGUGCCUAACACAUGCAAGUCGCACGAGAAAGGGACUUCGGUCCUAAGUACAGUGGCGCACGGGUGAGUAACACGUGAAUUAUCUACCUCCGAGUGGGGAAUAACUGAGAGAAAUCUUAGCUAAUACCGCAUAACACUUACGAGUCAAAGCAGCAAUGCGCUUGGAGAGGAGUUCGCGGCAGAUUAGUUAGUUGGCGGGGUAAUGGCCCACAAGACGAUGAUCUGUAUCCGGCCUGAGAGGGCGCACGGACACACUGGAACUGAAACACGGUCCAGACUCCUACGGGAGGCAGCAGUGGGGAAUUUUGCGCAAUGGGGGAAACCCUGACGCAGCAACGCCGCGUGGAGGAUGAAAUAUCUUGGUAUGUAAACUCCUUUCGAUGGGGAAGAUAAUGACGGUACCCAUAGAAGAAGCCCCGGACUAACUUCGUGCCAGCAGCCGC
rnacentral:rRNA from 1 species